rnacentral:miRNA from 1 species
CUGACUGAAUAGGUAGGGUCAUU